GACUGUGCUAAGGUAGCAUAAUCAUUUGCCUUAUAAUUGAAGGCUAGUAUGAAAGGUUUGACGAAAGUUAAGCUGUCUUUUUUUGUGUAAAAUGAAAUUAACUUAUAAGUGCAAAGGCUUAUAUACAACUAAAAGACAAGAAGACCCUAUUGAGCUUACAAAAAUAUUAUGGAAUAAAGUAUAUAUAAAAAUUCUAAUCUUUUUAAGUUUUUAGUUGGGGCGACUUAGGAAUCAAAAAAACUUCCUAGCAUUAAAAUUACUUUUAUGUUUUAUCCAAAAUUUUUUGAUUAUCAGAAUUAGUUACCAUAGGGAUAACAGCAUAAUCUUUCUUAGGAGUUCUAAUCGAAAGAAAGGAUUGUGACCUCGAUGUUGGACUAGGA
rnacentral:rRNA from 1 species